rnacentral:rRNA from 1 species
UGAAGUUUGAACUUAGUGGCGGACGGGUGAGUAACGCGUGAGCAACCUGCCUUACAGAGGGGGACAACAGUUGGAAACGACUGCUAAUACCGCAUGAUAUAUAUUGAGGGCAUCCUUGAUAUAUCAAAGAUUUAUCGCUGUAAGAUGGGCUCGCGUAUGAUUAGAUAGUUGGUGAGGUAACGGCUCACCAAGUCGACGAUCAUUAGCCGGACUGAGAGGUUGAACGGCCACAUUGGGACUGAGAUACGGCCCAGACUCC